rnacentral:lncRNA from 1 species
UUCGGCGGCAUGUGUAUGUCUAGAAAAAAAGACAACAUCCAGACUAUACGUGCUCUUCAUGACAUCGUUAUAACAUGUUGAGGUCAAAUUUCUAGUUAAAUAAAUAAAAAUCUUGAUAAGAAAUGCAACUUGCUGAUAUACGUUAUCAUUAAUCAAACGGAAUACAAAAGGAUGUCGAAUGAAGGGAUUUUGCAGAAAACGUAACAAUGACACAACAUCUGAUUCGUGAUGGCCUCUGUUGUAUCUUUAUUGUCCCUGAACGAGGAUAGUAUAGAUGAUGGAAAAAAGAAAUUGGCUAAAAAGAUAGCAACCCGAUUGAAGAGCAGAAAACGGCUCUAGACCAAUAAUAGGUCUUCAAUGCGUUGAGAAACUCCCGCACCUAGAGGCAAAAUUGAGCUGACUCCAAAACAAUAAUGUACACAAGUUUAACAAAAUUGACGCCAUACUUAACUCCAAAACAUACAAACGAAUCGAACUUUUAAAACACUAAUAACUAACAAAGAGUUACUUUGGAAAGAAACAAAAAUGCGGCAGGUUACUCGUGUUCUUUGCGAUUUAAGCCCAUCCCUGUACAUCUAGCCAAUGUGGAAUAAAAUUAACGAAAAC